rnacentral:lncRNA from 1 species
CGCAGAGGUGGCUCAAGUCCCCUUCCUCGCAGGAGUCUGGAAGGCUACUGCAUAGCGUUUGCCUUAGUAGAAAAUGGACCAUUUUUGAAGCCUAGGUCCCUGCAGGCCUCCUGGCUAACUCGGCUGUCAAAGCCCCUUUUCUCUGCUUUCUGAGCUGUUUCCAGGACUGAGUGGGUGCUCCCUCUGUUUCUCUGCUUUCUGAGCUGUGUCCGGGGCUCCCUCUGUUUCUCUUCCAGCCACCAGAGGACCUUCGUUCUGGAGGUGAUGGGACGACACUGUGGGUACGUACCUGCGGUGGGUCCGGUGGACGCGGUUCAGGUGGGGGACCCUCAGCAUCAUCUCCCUGAGGCUGCACCCCACAUCCUGAAUGCUCCCGUGGAAAGUCCUGAAGGGGCCGGCAUCCCGCUUCAUACCUGGCGUUAGGUACCUGGCCCUGGUGAGUGCCUUGGCCUGCGGUGCGGACUGGGUGUUCCUUCCAGAAUCUCCACCAGAGGAAGGCUGGGAGGAGCAGAUGUGUGUCAAACUCUCGGAGAACCGUGCCCGGAAAAAAAG